rnacentral:snoRNA from 1 species
GAGCGAUGAUGAUUGUCUCGUUCGUCGGAAUGGCGAGAUCCACCAAGUCUCACAGAAGCCUUGACGACAAUUGUCACCACCCAUAACCUGAGCUC